CAAACAAAUGUGCCUGGUACCCACGAGGUACUCAGGAAAUGCUGAAUGAAGCAACAGGAGUCAGAUUUCCUCCAAAUGACAAUUGAUUUUUUUUUUUUUUUAAGUUGAGCUAGAGGGUAGACCUUGAUAAAAGUCCCAACCCUGUCUUUGCAACUUUGGUAUCUUAUACAGUCUUUCUGAGUCCAUUUCCCCAUCUGUGAAAUGGGGCUGCAACACCUGUCAUGCAGAAGUAUUGUACGGUGGGAAGUAUAUGGAGUGCUGGGGGUAAGCCCUGGCUCAUAAAGGAGUAAAGACAAUAGUAGUUAUAUAAAUAGAGUUAGGAACAUAGCAGAUGCUCAAACCAGGAACUGUGAUUGUCGUUAUUAGCUGUUGUUGCUUGCUGUCUAUCUUGGUACCAUUUGAUUUGUAGGAAAAUAAUAUUAACAUUACUCAUAACUAGGUAUUUUAACAUGGUGUGUUCACUUUUCCAUCAUAUUUUCUUUUCAGGCCAUUAAGUGCUGUUUAGCAGAUCUUCCACAAUCUAUUGGCAUGUGGACACCAGAUGCAGUGCUGUGGUUAAGAGAUUCUGUUUUGAAUUGCUCGGACUGUAGCAUUAAGGUUACAAAAGUGGAUGAAACCAGAGGGAUCGCACAUGUUUAUUUAUUUACCCCUAAGAACUUCCCUGACCCUCAUCGCAGUAUUAAUCGCCAGAUUAC
rnacentral:lncRNA from 1 species